rnacentral:rRNA from 1 species
UACGUAGGGUGCAAGCGUUGUCCGGAAUUAUUGGGCGUAAAGAGCUUGUAGGCGGUUUGUCGCGUCUGCUGUGAAAUUUCGGGGCUCAACCCCGAACUUGCAGUGGGUACGGGCAGACUAGAGUGUGGUAGGGGAGACUGGAAUUCCUGGUGUAGCGGUGAAAUGCGUAGAUAUCAGGAGGAACACCGGUGGCGAAGGCGGGAUCCUGGGCCAGUACUGACGCUGAGGAGCGAAAGCGUGGGGAGCAAACAGG